UACAGAGGUCCCAAGCGUUGUUCGGAUUCACUGGGCGUAAAGGGUGCGUAGGUGGUGAGGUAAGUUUGACGUGAAAGCUCCGAGCUCAACUCGGAAAUGGCAUUGAAUACUAUCUUGCUGGAGGAUUGGAGGGGGGACUGGAAUUCUCGGUGUAGCAGUGAAAUGCGUAGAUAUCGAGAGGAACACCAGUGGCGAAGGCGAGUCCCUGGACAAUUCCUGACACUGAGGCACGAAAGCUAGGGGAGCAAACAGG
rnacentral:rRNA from 1 species